UGUGAUAGUGAGUAUACUGCUAUUGAGACACGUUUAAUAAGAGUCUACUAUAGUAACAGUAACGUCUCUUCAUCAGCUGUUGGUACGAAAGUCAAGCUUAUGAAGCACUAUUCAAAUAAAAAGGAACAAUGCUGUGAUCUGAAAAUAAUACUACAGUGGAACCCCUCUAUAACGAACACCUUUGGGAAACAAUGAUUUGGCCUUUAUACAGAGGUAGGCUUUGUUGAGAGGUUGUUUUGUACACAAACUGUUCAUUUGGGACCUGGGUAUAGCAACUGGCCUUUAUUCGGAGGUGGUUGUUAACAGAGGUUCCACUGUAACACCGUUAGAUACGUUAGUAAGCCUAAUAAAAACUAGUAAUUGCACUUUUACUUUCUUCAGUUACUAUUGCAUUCACAUCAGAGGAGGAGAAUCCAAGCAAACACACUACAUUUUUAAACAGGAAAUUCCCAUCUACCUAUCACAUACCUCCAGGCUAGCAGCUAUAAAUAGUGUGUCAGUUGGUUAGAAUCAGCAUACCUACCAAGCAAAAGUACAACUUAGUGAAGAUGAGCUGGGCAAGUGGAAUAAUUAUUUUGAUUGUGGUCGUUGCAUUGGUGCAAGCAACACCACAGUAUGAGGUGCAAGUGCAAUCACCUGUCUUAUUUUCAUACACUCCUGGAAAUCAAACCAACUAUUUGAUGGCACUUGCUGUUCACCUAAUGAAAGCUGCUUGUCUGUGGAAACCAACUGCUGCUUUACUGCAUGCAAUGAAACUCAAAUCACCCUCUGCUUCAGAGGCUCAGCAUUCAACAAAUGACUCAGACUCUACCAACUGUUCUCUAGGAAUGGCAACAUUCCUUUUUUGAUACAGUGGCUAAUAUCACAUACUGCAUGGUAUAAUUCUACAGCAAACCUAACCACCACCACCACCACAUAUACAUGGGAGUUUCCAACUUUUCUACAAAGUGGUAGCUUUGCAGCCAGUAAGAGAGAUCAACCAUGGAUAAACAGUGGAGAACGAGCAUUUCUAUUGAUUCGGGGCAUUAGAGUGGUGUGCAGAGAAGGCUACUUUGGUCCUGACUGUGGUUGCAGCACACGAAACGACUCCACUGGACACUUUACCUGUGAUACUAAUAGUACCAAGGUGUGUUUCCCUGGUUACCAGAACCCUGAGACAAACUGUGUAGAAGAGGAAGGAAGUACACAAGAGCCUGCAAUAGCCAUGAGCAGCAGUUUGGCUACUAUACCACUAUAUCAUCUGCUAUUGCGGAUAUUAUACCCAUCGUAGGCGGAGGUGUUGCCGGGGGGUUGUUGGUGUUGCUAUUGAUGCUGACUGUUAACGUUGUAUUGGUGGUUGCUGCUAUCAAGUUCAAGUUUACUGCACAACAUUCAAGAGCUCAAGUUGAUGAGCACAUUACCAUGGGAGCCAAUCCAGUUUAUGAUAUGAAACAAAGAGAUGAAAGCGACACUUAUUAUGAAACUCUAAAAUAAUAAUUGUUGUUACGAUAAUUAUAGUGACAGAAGGCCUCUAUUAUUAUACACAUCAUGGUUUCAUAUACAUGCAGCAUAGAUAUGAACAGUGAACAAUUGAAUAGGAACUCUGUAAAUCCUGUCUUCUGGGAAUAAAAAAUACUU